rnacentral:rRNA from 1 species
AGGACGAACGCUGGCGGCGUGCUUAACACAUGCAAGUCGAGCGGUAAGGCCUUUCGGGGUACACGAGCGGCGAACGGGUGAGUAACACGUGGGUGAUCUGCCCUGCACUCUGGGAUAAGCCUGGGAAACUGGGUCUAAUACCGGAUAUGACCUGCUCUCGCAUGGGGGUGGGUGGAAAGAUUUAUCGGUGCAGGAUGGGCCCGCGGCCUAUCAGCUUGUUGGUGGGGUAAUGGCCUACCAAGGCGACGACGGGUAGCCGACCUGAGAGGGUGACCGGCCACACUGGGACUGAGACACGGCCCAGACUCCUACGGGAGCAGCAGUGGGAAUAUUGCACAAUGGGCGAAAGCCUGAUGCAGCGACGCCGCGUGAGGAUGAAGGCCUUCGGGUUGUAAACCUCUUUCAGCAGGGACGAAGGCGACGAAGUGACGGUACCUGCAGAAGAAGCACGCAACUACGCGCUAGCACG